rnacentral:rRNA from 1 species
GAUGAACGCUGGCGGCGUGCUUAACACAUGCAAGUCGAACGAUGAAGCCCAGCUUGCUGGGUGGAUUAGUGGCGAACGGGUGAGUAACACGUGAGUAACCUGCCCUUGACUCUGGGAUAAGCCUGGGAAACUGGGUCUAAUACUGGAUAUGACUUCUCAUCGCAUGGUGGGGGGUGGAAAGAUUUAUUGGUCUUGGAUGGACUCGCGGCCUAUCAGCUUGUUGGUGAGGUAAUGGCUCACCAAGGCGACGACGGGUAGCCGGCCUGAGAGGGUGACCGGCCACACUGGGACUGAGACACGGCCCAGACUCCUACGGGAGGCAGCAGUGGGGAAUAUUGCACAAUGGGCGCAAGCCUGAUGCAGCGACGCCGCGUGAGGGAUGACGGCCUUCGGGUUGUAAACCUCUUUCAGUAGGGAAGAAGCGAGAGUGACGGUACCUGCAGAAGAAGCGCCGGCUAACUAUGUG